rnacentral:rRNA from 1 species
UUCCGGUUGAUCCCGCCGGAGGCUACCGCUAUUGGAGUUCGAUUAAGCCAUGCGAGUCGAGAGCUUUCGGAGCUCGGCAUACCGCUCAGUAACACGUGGGUAACCUGCCCUAUGCUGGGGAAUAACCUCGGGAAACUGAGAAUAAUGCCCCAUAGUUCACCACGCCUGGAACGGUGGGUGGAUGAAAGCUCCGGCGGCAUAGGAUGGGCCUGCGGCGUAUCAGGUUGUAGGGGGUGUAAUGUACCCUCUAGCCAUCUACGCGUACGGGUGUUGAGAGACAUCGCCCGGAGAUGGAUUCUGAGACACGAAUCCAGACCCUACGGGGUGCAGCAGGCGCGAAAACUUGGCAAUGCGAGCAAUCGUGACCAGGGAACUCCAAGUGCAUCGGGUAAGACCGAUGCUUUUCUUGACUCUUCAAAGGUCUUGGAAUAAGGGGUUGGUAAGGACGGUGCCAGCCGCCGCGGUAAUACCGGCGCCUCAAGUGGUAGUCGCUUUUAUUGGGCCUAAAACGUCCGUAGCCGGUUUGGUACAUUCGUGGGUAAAUCAAGGCGCUCAACGUCUUGAAUUCUGCGAGCACGGCCAGACUUGGGACCGGGUGAGGUGUGGGGUACUCUCAGGGUAGGGGUAAAAUCCUGUCAUCCUGAGAGGACCACCUGUUGCGAAAGGCGCCACACUAGAACGGAUCCGACGGUCAGGACGAAGCCUAGGGGCACGAACCGGAUUAGAUACCCGGGUAGUCCUAGUGUAAACGCUG